AACGAACGCUGGCGGCAGGCCUAACACAUGCAAGUCGAACGAAGUCUUCGGACUUAGUGGCGCACGGGUGAGUAACACGUGGGAAUAUACCUUACGCUGGGGGAUAACAUCGGUAAACUGAUGCUAAUACCGCAUACGCCCUUCGGGGGAAAGAUUUAUCGGCGAAAGAUUAGCCCGUGUCCGUUUAGCUAGUUGGUGAGGGACUGGCACACCAAGGCUCGGAUCGGGAGCUGGUCUGAGAGGAUGACCCGCCACACUGGGACUGAGACACGGCCCACACUCCUACGGGAGGGAGCAGUGGGGAAUAUUGGACAAUGGGCGCAAGCCUGAUACCGCCAUGCCGCGUGAGUGAUGAAGGCCUUAGGAUUGUACAGCUCUUUCACACACGACGAUGAUGACGGUAGUGGGAGAAGAAGCACCGGCUAACUUCGUG
rnacentral:rRNA from 1 species